UACGUAGGGGGCAAGCGUUGUCCGGAUUUAUUGGGCGUAAAGAGCUCGUAGGCGGUUCCGUAAGUCGUGAAGUCAAAUCUCUGGGCUCAACCCAGAAUCGCUUCCGAUACUGCGGUGACUGGAGUCCGGUAGGGGAGUGUGGAAUUCCUGGUGUAGCGGUGAAAUGCGCAGAUAUCAGGAGGAACACCAACAGCGAAGGCAGCACUCUGGGCCGGUACUGACGCUGAGGAGCGAAAGCAUGGGGAGCGAACAGGAUUAGAUACCCUGGUAGUCCAUGCCGUAAACGUUGGGCACUAGGUGUGGGGAGGAAUCAACCCUUUCCGCGCCGUAGCUAACGCAUUAAGUGCCCCGCCUGGGGAGUACGGCCGCAAGGCUAAA
rnacentral:rRNA from 1 species